rnacentral:lncRNA from 1 species
CUUAGACAUUGCCUAGCACCCCUUUUCCAUCCCUUUCCCAUUUUGUAAAUGAGGAAACAAGUCUAAAUGGUCAAGUGGCAUACCCAAGUUAUUGGAGCUGGCUAGUGAUACAACCAGGACUACACCCCAGGUCUUUGGACUCCCAUGCCAGUAUUCAUCCUACUAAAGUAGAUGAUAGUCUUAAGAAAGUACAAAUUGUUGGGAGGAACAAAACUAGUUUGCUUAGUUGCAUAAUUUUUUUUUCUUUGAAGAUUUCUUUGGUGUGCUUGACUCAGAAAAUCCAACUUUCUGGUAUUACAAAAAAAAUCAAGAUUAAAAUUAAUACAUCGAGCACCUUAAAGCAUAAUACAGUUGACUUUGUAAUUAGCAGAGUUGAAAGUGAUGAGAAGAUCCUCUAAUUUUCUUUUUGCCUGCAGGAAGGUGGGAGUCAAUCAUUUUGACAAGUCUCCUGAAAGGAACAGCUAGCAGGAACUGAAACCUUUUUCCAUUUGGUCUCGUGGCAAAGGCAGAGAUUGCUCCAGCAGCUCCACACAAAAUGAUGUGCUCACGGG